rnacentral:rRNA from 3 species
CCCCGGUAAACGGCGGCCGUAACUAUAACGGUCCUAAGGUAGCGAAAUUCCUUGUCGGGUAAGUUCCGACCUGCACGAAUGGCGUAAUGAUGGCCAGGCUGUCUCCACCCGAGACUCAGUGAAAUUGAACUCGCUGUGAAGAUGCAGUGUACCCGCGGCAAGACGGAAAGACCCCGUGAACCUUUACUAUAGCUUGACACUGAACAUUGAGCCUUGAUGUGUAGGAUAGGUGGGAGGCUUUGAAGUGUGGACGCCAGUCUGCAUGGAGCCGACCUUGAAAUACCACCCUUUAAUGUUUGAUGUUCUAACGUGGACCCGUAAUCCGGGUUGCGGACAGUGUCUGGUGGGUAGUUUGACUGGGGCGGUCUCCUCCUAAAGAGUAACGGAGGAGCACGAAGGUUGGCUAAUCCUGGUCGGACAUCAGGAGGUUAGUGCAAUGGCAUAAGCCAGCUUGACUGCGAGCGUGACGGCGCGAGCAGGUGCGAAAGCAGGUCAUAGUGAUCCGGUGGUUCUGAAUGGAAGGGCCAUCGCUCAACGGAUAAAAGGUACUCCGGGGAUAACAGGCUGAUACCGCCCAAGAGUUCAUAUCGACGGCGGUGUUUGGCACCUCGAUGUCGGCUCAUCACAUCCUGGGGCUGAAGUAGGUCCCAAGGGUAUGGCUGUUCGCCAUUUAAAGUGGUACGCGAGCUGGGUUUAGAACGUCGUGAGACAGUUCGGUCCCUAUCUGCCGUGGGCGCUGGAGAACUGAGGGGGGCUGCUCCUAGUACGAGAGGACCGGAGUGGACGCAUCACUGGUGUUCGGGUUGUCAUGCCAAUGGCACUGCCCGGUAGCUAAAUGCGGAAGAGAUAAGUGCUGAAAGCAUCUAAGCACGAAACUUGCCCCGAGAUGAGUUCUCCCUGA